rnacentral:rRNA from 1 species
ACUCCUACGGGAGGCAGCAGUGGGGAAUAUUGCACAAUGGGCGCAAGCCUGAUGCAGCGACGCCGCGUGAGGGAUGACGGCCUUCGGGUUGUAAACCUCUUUCAGUACCGACGAAGCGUAAGUGACGGUAGGUACAGAAGAAGCACCGGCCAACUACGUGCCAGCAGCCGCGGUAAUACGUAGGGUGCGAGCGUUGUCCGGAAUUACUGGGCGUAAAGAGCUCGUAGGUGGUUUGUCGCGUUGUUCGUGAAAACUCACAGCUUAACUGUGGGCGUGCGGGCGAUACGGGCAGACUGGAGUACUGCAGGGGAGACUGGAAUUCCUGGUGUAGCGGUGGAAUGCGCAGAUAUCAGGAGGAACACCGGUGGCGAAGGCGGGUCUCUGGGCAGUAACUGACGCUGAGGAGCGAAAGCGUGGGGAGCGAACAGGAUUAGAUACCCUGGUAGUCCACGCCGUAAACGGUGGGUACUAGGUGUGGGUUUCCUUCCUUGGGAUCCGUGCCGUAGCUAACGCAUUAAGUACCCCGCCUGGGGAGUACGGCCGCAAGGCUAAAACUCAAAGAAAUUGACGGGGGCCCGCACAAGCGGCGGAGCAUGUGGAUUAAUUCGAUGCAACGCGAAGAACCUUACCUGGGUUUGACAUGCACAGGACGACUGCAGAGAUGUGGUUUCCCUUGUGGCCUGUGUGCAGGUGGUGCAUGGCUGUCGUCAGCUCGUGUCGUGAGAUGUUGGGUUAAGUCCCGCAACGAGCGCAACCCUUGUCUCAUGUUGCCAGCGCGUUAUGGCGGGGACUCGUGAGAGACUGCCGGGGUCAACUCGGA